UACGAAGGGGGCUAGCGUUGUUCGGAAUUACUCGGCGUAAAGCGUGCGCAGGCGGCUGCUCAAGUCAGGGGUGAAAGCCCAGAGCUCAACUCUGGAAUUGCCUUUGAGACUGAGUGGCUUGAGUACGGGAGAGGUGAGUGGAAUUCCCAGUGUAGAGGUGAAAUUCGUAGAUAUUGGGAAGAACACCGGUGGCGAAGGCGGCUCACUGGCCCGUAACUGACGCUCAUGCACGACAGCGUGGGGAUCAAACAGG
rnacentral:rRNA from 1 species